AGCGUUGUUCGGAAUUACUGGGCGUAAAGCGCACGUAGGCGGCUUUGUAAGUUAGAGGUGAAAGCCCGGGGCUCAACUCCGGAAUUGCCUUUAAGACUGCAUCGCUAGAAUUGUGGAGAGGUAAGUGGAAUUCCGAGUGUAGAGGUGAAAUUCGUAGAUAUUCGGAAGAACACCAGUGGCGAAGGCGGCUCACUGGCUCAUACUGGACGCUGAGGUGCGAAAGCGUGGGGAGCAAACAGG
rnacentral:rRNA from 1 species